GACGAACGCUGGCGGCGUGCUUAACACAUGCAAGUCGAACGGUGAAGCGCCUUCCUUUUUGGUGGGUGUGGAUGAGUGGCGAACGGGUGAGUAACACGUUAGUAACCUGCCCCCUUCUUCUGGAUAACCGCAUGAAAGUGUGGCUAAUACGGGAUAUUCUGUGUCUGUCGCAUGAUGGGUCUGGGAAAGAUAUUGUUUCGGUGGGGGAUGGGCUCGCGGCCUAUCAGCUUGUUGGUGGGGUGAUGGCCUACCAAGGCGGUGACGGGUAGCCGGCCUGAGAGGGUGGAUGGUCACACUGGGACUGAGACACGGACAAGACUACUACGGGAGGCAGCAGUGGGGAAUAGUGCACAAGGGGCGCAAGCCUGAUGCAGCGACGCCGCGUGAGGGAUGGAGGCCUUCGGGUUGUGAACCUCUUUCGCCAGUGAAGCAGGCCUGCCUAGUUUGUGGGUGGGUUGACGGUAGCUGGAGAAGAAGCGCCGGCUAACUACGUG
rnacentral:rRNA from 1 species